rnacentral:rRNA from 1 species
GGCGUGCUUAACACAUGCAAGUCGAACGAUGAACCACUUCGGUGGGGAUUAGUGGCGAACGGGUGAGUAACACGUGGGCAAUCUGCCCUGCACUCUGGGACAAGCCCUGGAAACGGGGUCUAAUACCGGAUAUGAGCCUGGGAGGCAUCUCCCGGGUUGUAAAGCUCCGGCGGUGCAGGAUGAGCCCGCGGCCUAUCAGCUUGUUGGUGAGGUAGUGGCUCACCAAGGCGACGACGGGUAGCCGGCCUGAGAGGGCGACCGGCCACACUGGGACUGAGACACGGCCCAGACUCCUACGGGAGGCAGCAGUGGGGAAUAUUGCACAAUGGGCGAAAGCCUGAUGCAGCGACGCCGCGUGAGGGAUGACGGCCUUCGGGUUGUAAACCUCUUUCAGCAGGGAAGAAGCGAAAGUGACGGUACCUGCAGAAGAAGCGCCGGCUAACUACGUGCCAGCAGCCGCGGUAAUACGUAGGGCGCAAGCGUUGUCCGGAAUUAUUGGGCGUAAAGAGCUCGUAGGCGGCUUGUCACGUCGAUUGUGAAAGCCCGAGGCUUAACCUCGGGUCUGCAGUCGAUACGGGCUAGCUAGAGUGUGGUAGGGGAGAUCGGAAUUCCUGGUGUAGCGGUGAAAUGCGCAGAUAUCAGGAGGAACACCGGUGGCGAAGGCGGAUCUCUGGGCCAUUACU